AGCAGAGAAAAAGAAAAAGAAUGGAGAGAGAAGGACGGGAAAGUCACAGCUAGAGAAGGCAGCUGGGGAGGGCUGGCAUGGGUCAGGCUGGCUCUCCUGGACUCGCUCCCUCCUGAUGGGCCAUAAAUCUGUGUGUGUGCGCACACUGGUGUCUGUCUGUCCAUCUAUGUGCAUGCACGCACUGCACGUGUGUGCAGGGGUUGGUGGUGGGCAGAGGGAUGAUUCCCACAAUAUCCUCAUUCUCAUUUGUUUUAGGAGUCUCCCUCCUUGAGGCACCCCACAUCAACCCCUCAUUUCCCAGCAUUCCUGAUGCUCCAGGGGCCAUUCCCAAGAAAUGCUGUAACUGCACUCCAGGGGCUAUGUGAAUGCCGGAUGCUUGGAAAGUUCCUCUCCCAUCUGCCUUCCAUCCUUUCUGCUGCAAAGAUCUGUGGUCCUCCGAGGGGCUCUCCAGGAGUCAACCCCCUGCCCGAUCUGUGAAACUCAUUCUCCACCGCCCUCAGGGCCCCCUGCUCUGGCUCAGGAGGAGAGGGAGAUGCUGGGUGGGGGCCUGGGGAAGGUGGCCACGCUAAAAAUAGGGGCUCCCAACGGCACCCCCAGCCCCUUAUUUAUCGCCUUCCAAACCCCUCUCUCAAAGAAGCAUAAAUACGCAUUCCUAAUCCUGAA